UAUUAUUAUUAUUUUUUUGAUAGAUGUUUAUGAAAUAAGGUGAAAAAAUGCUCCUCAAAAAACCCAAUAGAAUCCUCCCAAAACCCUCGUCACACAACAAAGGGAGCGUCGCUGCUGGACGACGAGCUCGGAGAAGGUGACCCUGCUGGACGAAGAAGAAGAGCGCCGCACUUGACGGAGGUUUUCCCCAUUCCCACCCUUGAAGGCCAAAAACUCUAGUGACUGCUCUUAACGAUACUCUCUUUCAGUUUGCGUCUGCAAACAACCUCGCUGGGUCAAAAAAUAAAGGAAAAAAAAUUGCGAGAAAAGCGUAAUAGAGGAACCUGAACUGAAAAUAUCUUUUGAGGAUGGCUCUUAGAGGUGUGUGGCAACUUCAGAAGUUGAUCGUGAGUUACUCUGAUUGGGGAGGAAGUAGUCGGGGUAUCAGGUGUGCCUAUUUUUAUAUGAAAUUAUGUUUUAUUUUAUUUCUUUUGGCACUGAGGAAACUUAUUUUGAAGAGAUGGAAGAGAUAUUAUGCUUGAGGAAUAAUCUAACCAGAACUGGCAACUUUUGUCUGUUGUAGAAUUGUGUGCAUAAGAAUUUAUGAGCAAAUUUUAUUGAAAUAUUUUUUGGGGGAGUGGUUGGAGGAAGCAAUGGGAGAAGAAUGAAUAUGACUCAGUGACUCGCAUUCAUUUGUUCUACAGUUAUGGAAAAUGGGAGUUUUCUAGCCUUGAAUUUCUUUGUGGACUAAAAGCCCAUGUAGGGUUUUGAAUGGAACUUCUUAGAAGGCAUAUUUCCCUUUUGUAUUUGAAUCUACUGAUACACAGGCCUUUUCAUAUUAAUUAAUUGAGGAAUGAUGUUAGCCUUUAGCAAGAGAAAAAUAGUUCUUAUAGAAUACAUAGUUUGACUAUAAUUUUGAAGCUACUGGAUUGCCUUUGUUGCUCUGAAAAUCAGAAAUGAAUAUCAAUCAAUCAUGACUUUAUAAGCCAACUUAGGCUUUGCUUUAUUUAAAAAUAUUCCUUAGGUUCUGAUUUCAAAUAAAGAAAUCACUGCCUCUCUGUCCAGGGAGCUGUUGGCCUUUUAGGCAUAAUUAUUUUUAUUGGAAUAGUUUCAGUCUUCUUUUUCCUUUGGUAUACCUUGAAAUCAAAGUCCAGGCAAAUUGUUAAGACUUGAAUCAAGAAUUGUAUUGGGGUCUAGUUGACCUGGUUUGACCAGAUGACUUGAUAAUGUGUGCAACUGAAUAUGUGAUAGUUCAAUUAUUAUAAUUUUAGGGAGAGGGUUUCUCACGCUGCCAGCGUGAAAAUGAAACUGUACACUGCCACCAUUUAGUGACCUGAAAAAGUAUCAAUCCAUGUGGACCUCACAUUUUCAAAAUAGAUAAAUUAUAUUAAAACAAAAUACAUGUGUGGGGCCCACACUUUUUGUGAGAAAGCAUGGGAAAGAGUCACACUGAUCUUUUCCCACACUUUUAAAUGAUAGUACAUAUUAGAAACCGAUUAUCUUUGGCGAGACAGUUAAUAUAAUGCCAAUCAAUUGCAACUUAAUUUUCUCUUAUUAGAAAGUAGAUUUAAUCAUCUGAUAUGGAAGAUUAGUUUUUGGGAGCUUUCUAAGUACCUUGGUGUAGGAAAUUACUUGUAUGAGCUAGUAAUGGCCAUAUCAAGGUUGAGUUUUGGCCCAAAGAUUAAGUGUGAUGUGAACACGAUUAGUUCUGGUAAGAAAAAAAUAGCAGCAGGUUAUAUGGUUGCUGAGUCAAGAAUAACACUACUUCGGGCUUUAAGAUAGGGAUUUGUUAAAGAGGCUUAUAGGGAUCAAGGUGGGGUAUAUUAUAAUGUGUGGCUAGAAUAUGGUAGUGGUUUGUGCAAGUUCUUGGAUGCAGAGGACAAAAUCCAAAGAUUUAAGCUGUUAGUGUUGCAUUAGAGGAAUGCCGCAUGGUUAUGGAUUUUAUAGGUUUAUAAGGUGUCUAACAAUGAUUUUAUUGAAUUAAUUGCAAGAAAAUUCCAGAAAAAAGAACAUUGAAGAAGAAGGCCAGUUACCCCCCCCCCCAAAAAAAAAAAAAAAAAAAAAAAAAAAUCUCGUGAAUUAAUCCGAAUAGAAAGAAACUAAACACCUAUCGACCACGGACCAGCCCAACCGAAAGCCUGAUGUAGAUAAAUAUGCUGUGCUGAAGUACAGGCACAAGAAGAAACCAGGCAGCAGCUGAACCGAUGUCCAACUGUGGACUUGAUUUAUGUUUGUCGAACCAGCUAGCUGGGCUGGGUAUUUAGUUAGCACGCAUGAGCUAAUUACAUAUAGGAAUCUUUAGUUGUCUUUAUUUCAGCACAUGAGUUUUAGGAACCUUAGUUACUUAGUUGUUUUUAUUUCAGCACACGUCUUUUAAAUUCAGUACAUUGUAAUAACAAAUAGGAGUUUGAUUUAGAGCAUGUCUUAAAAAAAAGGGUGCUCCAUGGUAGUGAUCUUAGCCCCCAGACGGAAGAAUACAAUGAAAUCAGAAUAAAGCAGGUAGACCAAGCGAGCUUACAGAAUUAGGGGAAUUCUAACUCAGAAUAAGCUCUCUUGACCAAUUAGCACGUUUGGUAGCCAGAAAGAGGAUAUCAUAGAAAGCAUUCACCUUUCUACGGUCACUGAUCAAAAGCACAUUCAUUAAGGGAUUUCUCCUCAAAGUAGUGUAACCUAGCUCAAUGCCUCAUUGAUUCCUUCUACAAGCUUGAAAUCUCGACUCCUCCUUUCUUUCUGAUGGCCAAAGCCCCCUUACGGCAAGCAGAGCUUCCGCAGGACCAAUGAGCGAUAGUGGGGUGUGCCGACUUGAACCCACAACCAGCCGACCCGAGCGGUGAUGGGGGCAAGGGCUUCCUUCCACUAGGCUACCAAAGUUGUAAUAGCUUCCUAGCCAAGAAAGACUCCUAUUCAGUUUAGGAUUUUAUUUCAGUUUGGUAUAAAUAAAUUGAAAGGCCCAUAUGCCAGAUACAAUUUUGAUUAUUGAAGUUUUGAGUUGCCUUUGUGUAAGUCUCUGUGAGAAACAGAUGGGGUGAGAAACCCUUGACCUGCAAUAGGCCUCUAGCCCCUUCUUCCUGUCGGUCGGUUCCUGUAUGUGCUUGGUUUAUUUCUGGUUUGAUAAUCAAUCUAUUGAAGAUAUUGCUGCUGAAAUCUGCUGUUGGUUGGUCUUGAUCUGCUGAAGAAGCACUGCUGGAGUUCUUGAUUGGAGGACUAUCAAAUCAAUCCAUGCGGUCUGGUUUUUAUUCGGGGAGAUUUCGUGCAACUGUGACCGAUUUGAAGUCCUCUGUCGAUUAAGGCUGCUGUGCCUUGCUUGAUUCUCUAAUUUAGGUGAUCUUAAUCUUAUUACUCAACUGCUAUUCAUUAGUUUAAUGUGCUGAUUGGAUUCCAUCAGAGAUCAAUUGAUUUUUUACCCUGUGGUUGCUCUGUUUUGGAACAUCAGUCUGAAUUGAUCCCCAUCUGAGAGGAAUCUAUCCAUCAGCCCAGGAUAGGUCUUUGGGGCAUUACAGAGUCACCCAAUGGGGGCCACUUGACCAGGAUAUUGGGCUGAUCUGCUCUGCAAAUCAGUGACAUCACGUAGGUCAUUUCAGUGGAGAGCAGAUGCCUUUGACUAUUUUAGAACAUGAGACACUUGACUCGCACCAUCUUAGAGUUCUAAUAUGCCUAGAAAUAGUAGUUGGUGCCUUCUUUUGCUGUCAAUGUUGUGUCCCCAUAACCCUAAAAAAAGUCCACCCCCGCCAAUUUUGUGCCGCAAGGACUUAGUUUUCAACCCAAGGUUUUAGAUUUUGGUUUCGACUGAAACUCAACAUGUUUUGGUUGGCCAUUCUGGUGGCCAUAUUUUGGUCCGAAACUUUAAAAUGUCCAAAAUAGUAGUUUGGUUUCUUACCCUAGGUUGGUGGUGUAUGCUGUAACCUGCUGUAUAUUUUCUUUAAAAUAGUCUAUUCUACACAUAAUUUAGUAUUAGAGCACAUAAAAUCCAAUGAAAGCAAAUUAAUAAUGCAUUAGGAAUGAAGAAAAAAACAUUUAAUAUAACAGAUUGUCAAAGUGUUACAAGUAAUAGAGUACAAGUGUUACAAGUAGUCAAGUACAAAUGGAUAACUAAGGUUAAAACACUCUUACGAAACCAUUCCUCCCAACUCUAUUUUAGGACCACAUAGAGUUCCAGGGAGGCUUGAAUCCUUUACGGGAAAGGGUAAUGUUGCACAAAUCUUGCUCAAAAUGUGGCAAAUCGUCAUUGUAGAUGUGUUGUAGUAGUCUCCAACACUUUGUUCCACUAAGAAAUGUAAGUGAUUUAGCCAAAUCUGUUUUUUUAGUCCCUCCCCCCUUUCCAACAGACGAAACCACUUGAAACUCAUGAAAUGGGUAGAAAUUUCGACACAAUUCUACCAGAACAGUUCAUAUAUGCACUGUUGUAUACAUAAUGAUAUUGAACCGAGUAAAAAUUUAAAUUCGGCCAAAAUUGUGAAAUUUCGGUUGAAAUUCUGCGUGCCUAGUAAGUCACCUGUGUUUUGUUUCGACCUUUUUGUUAGAUCAAACAGCAAGAAACACGAAAAAUAAAGAGACAAUAGAUCCGCACGGCA